GCGGGUUUAGCUCAGUUGGGAGAGCGUAGCACUGAAGAUGCUAAGGUCGUGUGUUCGAUCCACACAAACCGCA